rnacentral:rRNA from 1 species
UACGAAGGGGGCUAGCGUUGCUCGGAAUCACUGGGCGUAAAGCGCACGUAGGCGGCUUUUUAAGUCAGGGGUGAAAUCCUGGAGCUCAACUCCAGAACUGCCUUUGAUACUGAGAAGCUUGAGUCCGGGAGAGGUGAGUGGAACUCCGAGUGUAGAGGUGAAAUUCGUAGAUAUUCGGAAGAACACCAGUGGCGAAGGCGGCUCACUGGCCCGGUACUGACGCUGAGGUGCGAAAGCGUGGGGAGCGAACAGG